UACAGGGGGGGCAAGCGUUGUUCGGAAUUACUGGGCGUAAAGGGCUCGUAGGCGGCCAACUAAGUCCGACGUGAAAUCCCAAGGCUUAACUUUGGAACUGCGUCGGAUACUGGAUGGCUUGAAUUCGGGAGAGGGAUGCAGAAUUCCAGGUGUAGCGGUGAAAUGCGUAGAUAUCUGGAGGAAUACCGGUGGCGAAGGCGGAUCUCUGGGCCAUUACUGACGCUGAGGAGCGAAAGCGUGGGGAGCGAACAGG
rnacentral:rRNA from 1 species